AUUGAACGCUGGCGGCAGGCCUAACACAUGCAAGUCGAGCGGUAGCACAAGAGAGCUUGCUCUCUGGGUGACGAGCGGCGGACGGGUGAGUAAUGUCUGGGAAACUGCCUGAUGGAGGGGGAUAACUACUGGAAACGGUAGCUAAUACCGCAUAACGUCUUCGGACCAAAGUGGGGACCGUUCGGGCCGUCACGCCAUCAGAUGUGCCCAGAUGGGAUUAGCUAGUAGGUGGGGUAAGUGGCGUCACCUAGGCGACGACCCUACGCUGGUCUGAGAGGAUGACCAGCCACACUGGAACUGAGACACGGUCCAGACUCCUACGGGAGGCAGCAGUGGGGAAUAUUGCACAAUGGGCGCAAGCCUGAUGCAGCCAUGCCGCGUGUGUGAAGAAGGCCUUCGGUG
rnacentral:rRNA from 1 species